CAGUCGCCACGGUAAGACGGAGGGUGCUAGCGUUGUUCGGAAUCACUGGGCGUAAAGGGCGCGUAGGCGGCCUGUUAAGUCGGAUGUGAAAGCCCGGGGCUCAACCCCGGAACUGCAUCCGAGACUGGCAGGCUUGAGACCGGGAGAGGAGGGUGGAAUAUCCAGUGUAGAGGUGAAAUUCGUAGAUAUUGGAUGGAACACCGGUGGCGAAAGCGGCUCUCUGGCCCGGAUCUGACGCUGAGGCGCGAAAGCGUGGGGAGCAAACAGGAUUAGAUACCCCGGUAGUCCCUGUCUCUUAUAC
rnacentral:rRNA from 1 species